AGUGAACGCUGGCGGUAGGCCUAACACAUGCAAGUCGAACGGCAGCACAGUAAGAGCUUGCUCUUACGGGUGGCGAGUGGCGGACGGGUGAGGAAUACAUCGGAAUCUACUUUUUCGUGGGGGAUAACGUAGGGAAACUUACGCUAAUACCGCAUACGACCUACGGGUGAAAGCAGGGGAUCUUCGGACCUUGCGCGAUUGAAUGAGCCGAUGUCGGAUUAGCUAGUUGGCGGGGGAGAGGCCCACCAAGGCGACGAUCCGUAGCUGGUCUGAGAGGAUGAUCAGCCACACUGGAACUGAGACACGGUCCAGACUCCUACGGGAGGCAGCAGUGGGGAAUAUUGGACAAUGGGCGCAAGCCUGAUCCAGCCAUACCGCGUGGGUGAAGAAGGCCUUCGGGUUGUAAAGCCCUUUUGUUGGGAAAGAAAAGCAGCAGGUUAAUACCCCGCUGUUCUGACGGUACCCAAAGAAUAAGCACCGGCUAACUUCGUG
rnacentral:rRNA from 1 species